AUUGAACGCUGGCGGCAGGCCUAACACAUGCAAGUCGAGCGGAAACGAUGAGAGCUUGCUCUCAGGCGUCGAGCGGCGGACGGGUGAGUAAUGCCUAGGAAUCUGCCUAGUAGUGGGGGAUAACGUUCGGAAACGGACGCUAAUACCGCAUACGUCCUACGGGAGAAAGUGGGGGAUCUUCGGACCUCACGCUAUUAGAUGAGCCUAGGUCGGAUUAGCUAGUUGGUGAGGUAAUGGCUCACCAAGGCGACGAUCCGUAACUGGUCUGAGAGGAUGAUCAGUCACACUGGAACUGAGACACGGUCCAGACUCCUACGGGAGGCAGCAGUGGGGAAUAUUGGACAAUGGGCGAAAGCCUGAUCCAGCCAUGCCGCGUGUGUGAAGAAGGUCUUCGGAUUGUAAAGCACUUUAAGUUGGGAGGAAGGGCAGUAAGUUAAUACCUUGCUGUUUUGACGUUACCGACAGAAUAAGCACCGGCUAACUCUGUGCCAGCAGCCGCAGUAA
rnacentral:rRNA from 1 species